rnacentral:rRNA from 1 species
GACGAACGCUUGCGGCGUGCUUAACACAUGCAAGUCGAACGGAAAGGCCCUGCUUUUGUGGGGUGCUCGAGUGGCGAACGGGUGAGUAACACGUGAGUAACCUGCCCUUGACUUUGGGAUAACUUCAGGAAACUGGGGCUAAUACCGGAUAGGAGCUCCUGCUGCAUGGUGGGGGUUGGAAAGUUUCGGCGGUUGGGGAUGGACUCGCGGCUUAUCAGCUUGUUGGUGGGGUAGUGGCUUACCAAGGCUUUGACGGGUAGCCGGCCUGAGAGGGUGACCGGCCACAUUGGGACUGAGAUACGGCCCAGACUCCUACGGGAGGCAGCAGUGGGGAAUAUUGCACAAUGGGCGGAAGCCUGAUGCAGCAACGCCGCGUGCGGGAUGACGGCCUUCGGGUUGUAAACCGCUUUCGCCUGUGACGAAGCGUGAGUGACGGUAAUGGGUAAAGAAGCACCGGCUAACUACGUGCCAGCAGCCGCGGUGAUACGUAGGGUGCGAGCGUUGUCCGGAUUUAUUGGGCGUAAAGGGCUCGUAGGUGGUUGAUCGCGUCGGAAGUGUAAUCUUGGGGCUUAACCCUGAGCGUGCUUUCGAUACGGGUUGACUUGAGGAAGGUAGGGGAGAAUGGAAUUCCUGGUGGAGCGGUGGAAUGCGCGGAUAUCAGGAGGAACACCAGUGGCGAAGGCGGUUCUCUGGGCCUUUCCUGACGCUGAGGAGCGAAAGCGUGGGGAGCGAACAGGCUUAGAUACCCUGGUAGUCCACGCUGUAAACGGUGGGUACUAGGUGUGGGGUCCAUUCCACGGGUUCCGUGCCGUAGCUAACGCUUUAAGUACCCCGCCUGGGGAGUACGGCCGCAAGGCUAAAACUCAAAGGAAUUGACGGGGCCCCGCACAAGCGGCGGAGCAUGCGGAUUAAUUCGAUGCAACGCGUAGAACCUUACCUGGGUUUGACAUGGAUCGGGAGUGCUCAGAGAUGGGUGUGCCUCUUUUGGGGUCGGUUCACAGGUGGUGCAUGGCUGUCGUCAGCUCGUGCCGUGAGAUGUUGGGUUAAGUCCCGCAACGAGCGCAACCCUUGUUCACUGUUGCCAGCACGUUAUGGUGGGGACUCAGUGGAGACCGCCGGGGUCAACUCGGAGGAAGGUGGGGAUGACGUCAAGUCAUCAUGCCCCUUAUGUCCAGGGCUUCACGCAUGCUACAAUGGCUGGUACAGAGAGUGGCGAGCCUGUGAGGGUGAGCGAAUCUCGGAAAGCCGGCCUCAGUUCGGAUUGGGGUCUGCAACUCGACCUCAUGAAGUCGGAGUCGCUAGUAAUCGCAGAUCAGCAACGCUGCGGUGAAUACGUUCCCGGG